rnacentral:lncRNA from 1 species
AGGCGUUCACUGGAGUUCAGCGGCUUCCAUUUAUCAGGCAGAUGUAAUCUCCUCAAAUAGCUGCCAAGUCCUGCUCUUCCUGGAGUUCCCUAAGACAACUGCUUCCCCAGGAGGUGAAGGGGCAUUUCCUUCCCCAGGAAGAGAUGCCAUCUGCAUGCAGUAACUGGUCCUUAGAGAAUGCUUGCCGAUUGGAUGGAUGGAUAACAGAUGAGUGAGUGGAUAAAUACACCGAAGAGUUCAACACAGUUAGGGAGGUGUGGAAAUCAAGGCUACGAGUUGGAAGUCACCUCCUCUCAAUCAACCAGCCUGUGCUUGGUGGACAAAAGCCUGAAACCUCAGCUUUGGGGUCCAAAAGCCCCCCUCCUCGUGUUCCUCCCACUGCCUGGGGCAUUACAGGGCCACCAGGGAGACUGACGCUGGAGCCAGUGGGUAGGAGGGGGUCCUGGUAGUCAGAUGGGUGGGGCAGCAGGCUGCAAGUGAGGAAGACAGCACACGUGUUUGUGAGUGUAAGGGUAAGGGCUUAAGUGGUUCCUUUCACUCAUUCACUUAUUCAUCCAUCACCCAGUCAUUCAGACACAUUCAUUGAUCACCUUUUAGGCACUGGGAGCUAUUCUAGAGGCCGUGCCGAACAAAACAGGCAGGAUCUCUAUAU